UUUAUUCCACAUGCUUUGGAAUCAGGAUCAGGCUUGGCUUCCUAGAAGCAAAUCUGAGACAAAGAUUCGGAUACAAGGGUAUCUUUCAAAGCUGAUCUUAGUUACCCACUGGUAAGCAAUGUGGGUACAUGAUACAGAGAAGGAAAGGUCAGCACACUAUGCCAUCACAGACAGGCGUGGAGCUCAUUGCCAUGGAAACCUCAGAACUGGCCACCAAGAAGCAAGGCCCCUACGAUCUUUAUCCCCCAGUUCCCUUUUGUCACUGGUGGAUGGCUGCCCCCAAAAUUAUCUCUGCACCACAUCUGGCCUUCCAAGAGAAAGCCACCAGGCAAAGACUCAGAGGUGUUUGUAGCUGGACACCUGGGCACAAGCCAGAACAGUGACUGCCAACCAGGUAACCAGAAAUUCAGUGGUAAACAAUCCUGAGCUGCUUCAGUUGCACGUGUAUAUCAGCAAUAGGCAAGGCUUCUACACCUUGCUCCUUCAUUCUUAGAGUGCAUGUUUUGCCCUCAAGGCUGCUGAAUCUCCAGAGAUCGUGUCUGUAUUCUAAGAAGACAGUAGGGGCAAGGGCUUAUAAAGAAUCUGCCAAUCAGGUUUAAAAAUUUUUUUGCAAAGCCUCUCAGCAAAGCCUACUGUCUAUAUCUCACUAGAUAAAACUGGGGGGAUUGGCCAUCCCUCUCUUCAAGGAGGUCUUGGAUAUGAAGUGACUGCAGCCCAUUGAAAGUAAAUAACCUGCUCGACAUUCACUGAUAGAAGACCUUUGUUACAAAAAACGGUUGUUACAGAGCACCAGCUUCGGGCUCCCUGCAUCGUACAUCAAAGUCCCACUGGUGGCCUCUUUUACGGACACGACUGAGCGACUGAACUGAACUGAACUGAAC
ensembl:lncRNA